AGAGAUUUACUGUUUUUCUGUUAAUAUGUUAGAUGCCAUGAUUUUACAUUUAAGGACAUGAAUGUACAACCAGGAAAAAAGCAUGUGACUAAUGAACUGAAAUUAAAAAUUGACGCUUUCAUAUUUGAUAUUCUUGUGAAAAUGUUCACAAGAUACAUGGCUAUCAAAUUCUUCAAGGAAUUCUCUCACCCCUCAAGCAGUUGAUGUGGGAAUAUGGAUUUUCAGCUGUUUGCUUUUGCUGGCAAACCAAUUUUUCUCAUCCUUGUGCUGCCUCUGAUAUGUAAUUGACACACUCAUACUGGCACAUGUGUUCCUAUCGAUGUCACUUCAUGUGUAGGCGUUAGACAGGCGGGUACAUGAUUAUAUAUAGAUUUAGGAGCAUUGAUUAAAACAUGAGUUUCAGGAAAAAAAGGAGUCACUGAAGAUGUUGCUUGGACUAUCAAAUAGUUGCAGCUGGUAGAUAUUUUGAGAAACUGCCUGUUGUCAUGAUUAACUCUUGUGUCUAAUUCCUACUUUAAUAUAUUACAUAUAUAAUGCAUAUAUGUAUUGUAAUGUAACUUCAGCAACACAUUCCCCUGUGCAAAUUAUAAACAUUUUUUUCCAAGAAAAAAGUUGUUAUCAAAAUAAACCUAUGGUGACAUUGAGCAAAUUCGUCACAGUCUUUGGCAGAUUUUGAAGGGCUUCCAUCAACUAUGGUUUCGCUCUGACGCAGGAUAGCUUUUCAUCUUCAUAUAUGGCCUCUGAUUAAAAGGACAACCUACAAGUAACUUGCACACAUCAUUACAUUUCCUGAAGGGCAGAAGGACAGGUGCAAACCUCAAAAAUUCCACAGCAUAACUAUGAUGGUAAUUACCACUAUUUGAUUUUAUCAAACUACAAGUGAAUGCUGUGGAAAAGAAGUGGGAAUAAAGAUUCGAAAAUAAAGGAUAUUUCACAAAAGGCAUAGACACAAGAAUAAAGAGUGCAAGAGAAACAGUGGACUGAUUAUAGGAAGGUUCCAUAACUUAUGCUGUGAUAAUAUCAAGGAUAUUUCAUAUAUAUCUGAAAGAGGUUCCAAACAGAUUUUUGAGGAAAAUUUGCAAUGCAUUAUGAUGAGACACAUUCUCAGUACAAAGUGGACCCUAUUCUUCAAAGAUGUCACUAUGAUGCAGGACAGUAUUGAGUGGAAAGGAAGAACAUGCUGGUAGCAGGGAUCUGUAAACAGAGGUUGUAUAAUUUGCCUAUCCAGACACCAGUGAACUGAAGACAAGGAAGAAGUCAUAUUAUUUACAGCAAUAACCCUUUGGUUUUUGAAAGAUAUUAGAAAAAACGCAACAGGUUUACCUAUUUAUCUGUGAUAAUAACAUGUGUUGGCCGUGAUACGUGUAGAUGGCCUUGUUAUAGGUCUAGUUCUGUGUUACUUACAGAUGACACUGUAUGUUGAUUGGGAGUAUAAUUAUAUCCAAGGGAAGUGGAGAAUGGGUUCCCUGUCUGCUUGCAGCCCAGGUCAUGUGCAGUUUGCCCUACCUAAUUUAACUUACCCUAGAUAUCAUUGAUUCCCUGUUCCCCAGGCAGUCAAAACUUGGAGGGUCUAAAUCUCCUUGGGGAUGCAUAAUGUAUUAGAUAGAUGCUUUGCUAAAGAAAGUCAGACUGACUUUCAUACAGCCUUCUCUGGAAUUAUGAAGCAAAGAAGUAGGGGUAGUGUCAUACUGGAACCGGAUAUCACUUGAGUGUAGAUUUUCCAGUUCUUUAGUUCUUAUCAUCUUAUUCUCCCAUCCCUCUCUCAACCCCAACCCCCAUAGCCCAUCCAUUCUGUGCUUUAGUGGUUGUGACCGUUAUUAUAUCAUGGUAUAUAUAUAUAUGAAAGGAAAGUUUUAGACCAGAUAAUCUCUUUGAAUCUCAAUUUUAUUUUGUGUUUUAUAUACAUAUGCUUGUGAUCCAGGCUGUGGAUAGAUUUGUUCUUUCUUUUGAGGGAUUAAGACAUAUUCCCAUUCAUUUUUUUUUUUUUCGAGACAAGUAUCAAAUCAUGGCUUUGCUCCAUCUCUGCCCUGAUAGUGAUGUUAUCUGCAAUGUCUAUACAGCUGGCACUGAAUAUGAGUUUUGAAACUUCAAAAGCUGAAUUCAUACAAGAAUGAAGGAGGUUGGUAUUGAUUUUCCUAAGACCAGACCAGGUGAAGUAUUGCUCCUCUAGUUUGCAGUCACAAGGGGCAUCUGCAUUGAGUCUUUGACAACGCUGGUAUUUAACGGGUUAUUUUUAAAGCUCAAUUGAUCUGCUCCUUUUAAUUUAAUUUUCUAAUUAUUUCAAAUCCAUGAGGUGCCCUUGGUGCUGAUAACAUGUUCCAUUUACCCAAUGCAGGUAAAUGGUUUUAUGAAAGUAUCUCAAAAAAGAAGUUCUCUUGAUAUUUGCCUUGCAUUAAAGAUUUUUUAUUUCUAUUGGCAGACUUCUUUUGCAUCAAGAUAAUGGCAAGUGACAAAUGCUUUGAAACAUUUUUAAUCAUGUUGAAAUAUUAAUUGCUUAAAUAACUCUUUAGGUUAAGCUGUAAGGUUUCUGCCUGCUGUUUCGAAAGUGAAGGCUUAUCAGAGUCAGAUAUAAAUAGGGCAUUGACAUAGCAUGGAAUCUAAAGUAUCAUCAUCAGGAUGAAUGAAAUUACUUGCUGCAGAGGGAGAAAUUGCUCAUCCCCUAGACAUACAUAGUGAAUAUCCUAAAAAUGUCCAUGUUCUUUAUUUAAAAGAAACUUAGUAACAAUGCUAACAAAAAGCAGUAUGAUUAAAUCUAAUCCUUAAGACUUGUUAUUAGAAUAGAUUUUCUCAAUUUCAUUUUGAAUGCAGGGAAAUUAUGUAUCAUACUUUUCUAUAUUGAAGUCAUUGCUUCACAUGUCACUAUUUAAAACUGUACACAGCACCUUUUAACCCGCCACUUACUUUUGCAGUAUCAGUCCAUGAAGACAUUGCUUGCAUAUUAUUUUUAUCAUUUUUUAAAACUUACAAUAUAAGGGCGAAUUGCUUAUCUGUGCCAGCUUGGCCUGCAAAUACAGACAAGCUGACACAGAUAAAUGUAGUAUUACAAUAGAGAAUGUGGGAAGAAUGGGCAUAAUCACCCUCAAAUGAUAAUAAUGUGUAUGGCAUCACAUAUAGAUGCACAUCAUUUAAGGAAAAAACAUGUUGUAACAGUAUAGACAUACUAGACACCUUGCAGAUCAAUUGCCUCAACUUGUGCAACUCUCACUGUGCCUGGACCUGGUGCCGCGGGGGCUGCUGUAUGUACUACAAUGUGAAAGGGUAUAAACAGCUUUAUUCUUCUUAUUAUUAACAUUUAUUUCUUGAAGUGCAACUAUACAAUGACGAUAGACACUACCAUAGAAUCAUGUAGUAAAUUGCAAUGUAAAACCUUGUAUAUAUGCGUAGUGUAGAAAAUGCUAGUUUAGAAACAAUUUUAAUGAUUAUAAUGGCUAUGAAAGUAAUUUAGUAUGGAUGGUUUACUGUAGAUCAGCAUCCAAUAUUUAUUGAUACUCAACUUGCAGAUAUAUAUAUAUAUACACGUGUGUGUGCCAGAAUACAUGUUUUGUAUACAUGUGUGUAUAUAUAUAUGUGUGU
rnacentral:misc_RNA from 1 species